GGAAGUAAAAGUCGUAACAAGGUCUCCGUUGGUGAACCAGCGGAGGGAUCAUUGCUGGAACGCGCCCCAGGCGCACCCAGAAACCCUUUGUGAACUUAUACCUUACUGUUGCCUCGGCGUACGCUGGCCCCCAUGGGUCCCUCUGUCUACAGAGGAGCAGGCGCGCCGGCGGCCAAGUUAACUCUUGUUUUUACACUGAAACUCUGAGAAAAAAACAAAAUGAAUCAAAACUUUCAACAACGGAUCUCUUGGUUCUGGCAUCGAUGAAGAACGCAGCGAAAUGCGAUAAGUAAUGUGAAUUGCAGAAUUCAGUGAAUCAUCGAAUCUUUGAACGCACAUUGCGCCCUCUGGUAUUCCGGAGGGCAUGCCUGUUCGAGCGUCAUUUCAACCCUCAAGCCUGGCUUGGUGUUGGGGCACUGCCUGUAAAAGGGCAGGCCCUCAAAUCUAGUGGCGAGCUCGCCAGGACCCCGAGCGUAGUAGUUAAACCCUCGCUUUGGAAGGCCCUGGCGGUGCCCUGCCGUUAAACCCCCAACUCUUUGAAAAUUUGACCUCGGAUCAGGUAGGAAUACCCGCUGAACUUAAGCAUAUCAAUAAGCCGAGA
rnacentral:rRNA from 1 species